AUUGAACGCUGGCGGCAGGCCUAACACAUGCAAGUCGAGCGGUAGAGAGGUGCUUGCAUCUCUUGAGAGCGGCGGACGGGUGAGUAAUGCCUAGGAAUCUGCCUGGUGGUGGGGGAUAACGUUCGGAAACGGACGCUAAUACCGCAUACGUCCUACGGGAGAAAGCGGGGGAUCUUCGGACCUCGCGCCAUUAGAUGAGCCUAGGUCGGAUUAGCUAGUUGGUGAGGUAAUGGCUCACCAAGGCGACGAUCCGUAACUGGUCUGAGAGGAUGAUCAGUCACACUGGAACUGAGACACGGUCCAGACUCCUACGGGAGGCAGCAGUGGGGAAUAUUGGACAAUGGGCGAAAGACCUGAUCCAGCCAUGCCGCGUGUGUGAAGAAGGUCUUCGGAUUGUAAAGCACUUUAAGUUGGGUAGGGAA
rnacentral:rRNA from 1 species